rnacentral:rRNA from 1 species
GACGAACGCUGGCGGCGUGCUUAACACAUGCAAGUCGAACGGAAAGGCCCUGCUUUUGUGGGGUGCUCGAGUGGCGAAAGGGUGAGUAACACGUGAGUAACCUGCCCUUGACUUUGGGAUAACUUCAGGAAACUGGGGCUAAUAACGGAUAGGAGCUCCUGCUGCAUGGUGGGGGGUGGAAAGUUUCGGCGGUUGGGGAUGGACUCGCGGCUUAUCAGCUUGUUGGUGGGGUAGUGGCUUACCAAGGCUUUGACGGGUAGCCGGCCUGAGAGGGUGAGCGGCCACAUUGGGACUGAGAUACGGCGCAGACUCCUACGGGAGGCAGCAGUGGGGAAUAUUGCACAAUGGGCGGAAGCCUGAUGCAGCAACGCCGCGUGCGGGAUGACGGCCUUCGGGUUGUAAACCGCUUUCGCCUGUGACGAAGCGUGAGUGACGGUAAUGGGUAAAGAAGCACCGGCUAACUACGUG